CCUUUGGAACAGUGGCAGCAUAAGAGGUGGCUUUUCUGGGUUCAAGAGAGAAAGGUAAAGCACCCACAUGAAGACCAAAUUGAACAUCUGGUACAUAUGUGAGUGGAUGCUUAGAUACAGCCCAUAGACGUCCUUUCGUUGGUGGUUCAGACUCUGAGAGCCCCAAGGCUCCAGAUUAUGGUCCACCAUUCAGGGAACUCAUGUCAGAAACUCAAGGCAGAAGUUGAGGCCAUGAAGAAACACAGCUUUUCUAGGUCCUUCUGACUUGCUUAUAUAACCUGGGACUAUUUGUCCAGCAGUGUCACCACUUACAAAGCGCUGAGUCUUCACACAUCAAUCACUAUUUUUUUUUUAAAUCCCCAUAGUCUUGUCUACAGGUCCCAAUCUUAUGAAAGCAUUGUCUUAAUUAGCAUUCGUUUCUGCCUGACAUGUCUAGGAUUAUGUCAAGUUGACAAAAAAGGGGAAAAAAACCCUCAGUAAUUUUGCAUUUUUCCUUUACAAGUUUUUGUACAUUUGCCAUGGGGAAGAUUUAGUAAGGUCAUGACUGUAACAAGUGCCUCAUAUAUUUGAAAGUCUGUCUUUUUUGAGUUUGGGAAAUGUUCUUCUACAAUGGAAUUAAAGUCUCGAUUCUCUCUG
rnacentral:lncRNA from 1 species